rnacentral:tRNA from 1 species
GGAGAAGUGGCCGAGUGGCUGAAGGCGUGCCCCUGCUAAGGGUAUAUAUCAGAAAUGGUAUCGAGGGUUCGAAUCCCUCCUUCUCCGCCA